GACCUGCGGAGGAUCAUU
rnacentral:rRNA from 1 species